GCGAGUGUUUGGUGUGCAAGCCCGAGCGCGCUAUGGAGUGCACGUAGGUGGCAACCCUUUUUGGGGGUGCACCAUCGACCGAUCCUGAAGUCUUCGGAUGGAUUUGAGUAAGAGCACGGCUGUUGGGACCCGAAAGAUGGUGAACUAUGCUUGAAUAUGGUGAGGCCAGAGGAGACUCUGGUGGAGGCUCGCAGCGGCCCUGACUCGCAACUCGAUCGUCAAAUUUGGGCGUAGGGGCGAAAGACUAAUCUAACUAUCUAGUAUCUGGUUCCUGCCGAACUUUCCCUCAAGAUAGACUUCACGUAUUCAGUUUUAUGAGUAAAGCGAAUGAUUAGAGGCCUGGGGGGUGAAACAACCUUCACCUAUUCUCAAACUUUAAUAUGUAAAGUCCUUGUACUUGAUGACGUGACAUUUGAUGUUCCGUUACUAGUGGCCAUUUUGUGCGCUGCCACCUGGUUGA
rnacentral:rRNA from 1 species